GUCCGGCUGCUGCGUGAUCCCACGUGGGCGAUGCUCUUGGUGUGGGAUGCAUUGGGCCCUCCUCUCGACCCCCCUUUACACGAGCAGCGUUGCGAAGGCUGGGAGCGUUGGUCAUUCAGGAGACGUGCCUAAAUAAGGAGCUCUGUGCCCCAAAUUCUCUGCACUCAAUGAAGAGAAAUCAGCACCUUCGGGUCUACGCUGCGGUACUAAUUGCGAACCCCCCAUGAAUCCCCCACUGAGGAGAGAGGAACCUUCAGAGCAGUGCCCCAAAUGUGUCUCCUCUCUUGGAAUGGAUCAUUGGACUCAACCCAAGGGUGGUUUGUUGGCAGAGCUGGAGGGCUGCUGCCCUGUGACGGUGGAAUGGAGCAGUUUGACUCAACCCAAUUGGUUGGCAAAGCCAGAAGGACGUCGUCCUUCUAUACUGGAAUGGAAAGUGGGACUCAACCCAAUGCUGAUUGGCUGGCAAGACCAGAUGGGUUCUGCCCUUUGAUACUGGAGUGGAAAGUGGGACUCAACCCAAUGCCAGCUGGUUGGCAAGGUCAGAUGGAUGCUGCCCUUCGACAACGCAAUGGAACAGUUUGACUCAACCCAAUGCGUAUUGGUUGGCAAGAUCGGAUGGAUGCUGCCUUCAAUACUGGAAUGGAACAUGGGACUCAACCCAACACUGGUUUGCUAGAAAAAUGAACAGACGCUGCCCUUUGGGAAAGCAGUUGAAGCUCAUCUGUAGCAUUCCCUGGGAAAUGAGGGAGCUCGUGGUGCUGGCGCAGGUCAUGGGGUGGAUGGCUCUGGUUGCUGCCGUGCCAUAAAUCCUGGCCAGGCGAGCCUGGCGGCACCGAGAGGUACCCACAAAGGGACAUCCAUCAACGUUAACCCAAAUCAACCUUUAAAAUGGAUUAGCCAGAGCACAUAAAACCCCAUUCUGGACACUUACCCAGAAUUAGAGUUGGUUUAAUUCACUUGAGCUUAAUUCGCAAAGCUAAACCGAAUUAAGGCUGGCUGCGUUUGGAACGAGCAGCUCCACGCGUGGAGUUUAAUGUGAUUUACAUCGCCUGCUCUCCAUCCACACCUCUGGGUGAUCUAUGUGCCACCGGGGAGCAGAGCUGGCAGGGAAUGCAGGGAACGUCGCCACGCCGCUGCCAGGACCGAACAUCGCUGCAGGGUCACCGAGCCCUGGAGCAGCACGGAGGGAGGAGACGCUUCCAGUUCUCUUCUUGCAGCAGUGGGAGGGAUGGAAGGGACCCUCCAACCCCCCGAUGAAAUUAUAUCUACAUCGGCUGGAAUUCGGCUCUCGUUGACCCCAUCAAACCAGGGAAAUGCCUCCAUUGGGGCUCUGAGGAGAGCAUCCGUAACCCUGAUGGACCACUGCGAGUGGAAAACCAGCGACCACCAACCCCACCUCUCCCUGUUUGUCAGUGAUGGAGGCGAUGGGCUCCGCUUCCCAUCAGCACACUUCGUCUUAUGGCACGUUUGGCUUCCAUCCAUUUCCACCUGGG
ensembl:lncRNA